GACGAACGCUGGCGGCGUGCUUAACACAUGCAAGUCGAACGGAAAGGCCCUGCUUUUGUGGGGUGCUCGAGUGGCGAACGGGUGAGUAACACGUGAGUAACCUGCCCUUGACUUUGGGAUAACUUCAGGAAACUUGGGCUAAUACCGGAUAGGAGCUCCUGCUGCAUGGUGGGGGUUGGAAAGUUUCGGCGGUUGGGGAUGGACUCGCGGCUUAUCAGCUUGUUGGUGGGGUAGUGGCUUACCAAGGCUUGGACGGGUAGCCGGCCUGAGAGGGUGACCGGCCACAUGGGGACUACGAGACGGACCAGACUGCUACGGGAGGCGGCAGUGGCGAGUAUUGCACAAUGGGCGGAAGCCUGAGGCAGCAGCGCCGCGUGCGGGAUGUCGGCCUUCGGGUUGUAAACCGCUUUCGCCUGUGACGAGGCGUGAGUGACGGUACUGGGUAAAGAAGCACCGGCUAACUACGUG
rnacentral:rRNA from 1 species